rnacentral:rRNA from 1 species
CCUUAGAGUUUGAUCCUGGCUCAGGAUGAACGCUGGCGGCGUGCCUAACACAUGCAAGUCGAACGGACUUAUAUUGAAACCUAGUGAUUUAUGAGUUAGUGGCGGACGGGUGAAUAACGCGUGGAAAACCUGCCGUAUACCGGGGGAUAACACUUAGAAAUAGGUGCUAAUACCGCAUAAGCGCACAGCUUCGCAUGAAGCAGUGUGAAAAACUCCGGUGGUAUACGAUGGUUCCGCGUCUGAUUAGCUAGUUGGCGGGGUAACGGCCCACCAAGGCAGCGAUCAGUAGCCGGCCUGAGAGGGUGAACGGCCACAUUGGGACUGAGACACGGCCCAAACUCCUACGGGAGGCAGCAGUGAGGAAUAUUGGUCAAUGGCCGUAAGGCUGAACCAGCCAAGUAGCGUGAGGGAAGACUGCCCUAUGGGUUGUAAACCUCUUUUAUGCGGGGAUAAAGGUGUCCACGUGUGGAUGUUUGCAGGUACCGCAUGAAUAAGGACCGGCUAAUUCCGUGCCAGCAGCCGCGGUAAUACGGAAGGUCCGGGCGUUAUCCGGAUUUAUUGGGUUUAAAGGGAGCGUAGGCCGGUCUUUAAGCGUGCCGUGAAAUUUUGUGGCUCAACCAUGAGAGUGCGGCGCGAACUGGAGACCUUGAGUGCGCGGAAGGCAGGCGGAAUUCGUGGUGUAGCGGUGAAAUGCUUAGAUAUCACGAAGAACCCCGAUUGCGAAGGCAGCCUGCCGCAGCGUUACUGACGCUGAAGCUCGAAAGCGCGGGUAUCGAACAGGAUUAGAUACCCUGGUAGUCCGCGCGGUAAACGAUGGAUGCCCGCUGUCGGCGAUAUACAGUCGGCGGCCAAGCGAAAGCGUUAAGCAUCCCACCUGGGGAGUACGCCGGCAACGGUGAAACUCAAAGGAAUUGACGGGGGCCCGCACAAGCGGAGGAACAUGUGGUUUAAUUCGAUGAUACGCGAGGAACCUUACCCGGGCUCAAACGCAGGAGGAAUACAUUUGAAAGGGUGUAGCUCUACGGAGUCUUCUGCGAGGUGCUGCAUGGUUGUCGUCAGCUCGUGCCGUGAGGUGUCGGCUUAAGUGCCAUAACGAGCGCAACCCCUAUCGACAGUUGCCAACAGGUGAAGCUGGGAACUCUGUCGAGGCUGCCGGCGCAAGCUGAGAGGAAGGCGGGGAUGACGUCAAAUCAGCACGGCCCUUACGUCCGGGGCGACACACGUGUUACAAUGGCGGCCACAGCGGGAAGCCAGGCGGCGACGCCGAGCGGAACCCGAAAAGCCGUCUCAGUUCGGAUUGGAGUCUGCAACCCGACUCCAUGAAGCUGGAUUCGCUAGUAAUCGCGCAUCAGCCACGGCGCGGUGAAU